rnacentral:rRNA from 1 species
AAAUUGAAGAGUUUGAUCAUGGCUCAGAUUGAACGCUGGCGGCAGGCCUAACACAUGCAAGUCGAACGGUAACAGGAAGCAGCUUGCUGCUUUGCUGACGAGUGGCGGACGGGUGAGUAAUGUCUGGGAAACUGCCUGAUGGAGGGGGAUAACUACUGGAAACGGUAGCUAAUACCGCAUAACGUCGCAAGACCAAAGAGGGGGACCUUCGGGCCUCUUGCCAUCGGAUGUGCCCAGAUGGGAUUAGCUAGUAGGUGGGGUAACGGCUCACCUAGGCGACGAUCCCUAGCUGGUCUGAGAGGAUGACCAGCCACACUGGAACUGAGACACGGUCCAGACUCCUA